rnacentral:rRNA from 1 species
AUUGAACGCUGGCGGCAUGCUUUACACAUGCAAGUCGAACGGUAACAGGCCGCAAGGUGCUGACGAGUGGCGAACGGGUGAGUAAUGCAUCGGAACGUGCCCAGUCGUGGGGGAUAACGCAGCGAAAGCUGCGCUAAUACCGCAUACGAUCUCUGGAUGAAAGCGGGGGACCGCAAGGCCCCGCGCGAUUGCAACGGCCGAUGGCAGAUUAGGUAGUUGGUGGGAGAAAAGCUUACCAAGCCGACGAUCUGUAGCUGGUCUGAGAGGACGAUCAGCCACACUGGGACUGAGACACGGCCCAGACUCCUACGGGAGGCAGCAGUGGGGAAUUUUGGACAAUGGGCGCAAGCCUGAUCCAGCAAUGCCGCGUGCAGGAUGAAGGCCUUCGGGUUGUAAACUGCUUUUGUACGGAACGAAAAGCCCUGGGUUAAUACCCUGGGGUCAUGACGGUACCGUAAGAAUAAGCACCGGCUAACUACGUGCCAGCAGCCGCGGUAAAAC